CUUCACCGACCCGAGCCACAGCGGCCGGUCCCCGGCGGGACGCUCCUGGCCGUAGGUGGCCAGCAGCGCCUGGGCCUC
rnacentral:antisense_RNA from 1 species